rnacentral:rRNA from 1 species
UUACUCCUACGGGAGGCAGCAGGGGGGAAUAUUGCACAACGGAGGAAACUCUGAUGCAGCGACGCCGCGUGAGUGAUGAAGUAUUUCGGUAUGUAAAGCUCUAUCAGCAGGGAAGAAGACGACGGUACCUGACUAAGAAGCCCCGGCUAACUACGUGCCAGCAGCCGCGGUAAUAA